UACGUAGGGUGCAAGCGUUGUCCGGAAUUAUUGGGCGUAAAGAGCUCGUAGGCGGUUUGUCGCGUCUGCUGUGAAAACUCGGGGCUCAACUCCGAGCUUGCAGUGGUACGGGCAGACUAGAGUGCGGUAGGGGAGACUGGAAUUCCUGGUGUAGCGGUGAAUGCGCAGAGUAUCAGGAGGAACACCGGUGGCGAAGGCGGGUCUCUGGGCCGUAACUGACGCUGAGGAGCGAAAGCAUGGGGAGCGAACAGG
rnacentral:rRNA from 1 species